rnacentral:rRNA from 1 species
GUGGGGAAUAUUGGGCAAUGGGGGAAACCCUGACCCAGCGACGCCGCGUGAGGGAAGAAGGCCUUAGGGUCGUAAACCUCUGUUGUGUGGGAAGAAGAGCGUGACGGUACCACACGAGGAAGUCCCGGCUAACUACGUGCCAGCAGCCGCGGUAAUACGUAGGGGACGAGCGUUGUCCGGAUUUACUGGGCGUAAAGGGCGCGUAGGCGGUCAUUUAAGUCAGCUUUGAAAUGGUUUGGCUUAACCGGAUCAUGCGGUUGAAACUGGAUGACUGGAGUGCUGGAGAGGCAAGUGGAAUUCCCAGUGUAGCGGUGAAAUGCGUAGAUAUUGGGAGGAACACCAGUGGCGAAGGCGCCUUUCUGGACUGUGUCUGACGCUGCGAUGCGAAAGCCAGGGUAGCGAACGGGAUUAGAAACCCCGGUAGUCC